ACAGGAUGAUUUCAAAUACAAAAAAUUGAAGAGAAUAUUUAUUCUUAUUACUCUUAUACAAGACAUAAAGAAGAAAGUCUUGUAAAUGUAUACUUCUUAAAUUGCUUCGUUGAACACUUAAUAUACUAUUAUUAAUAUUAAAUUUAUUUAUACGCACACUUAAUAUAAAACUGUUUCACCAAUACAGGGAAAAUUUUUAAUAUAUAUGUGUGUGUGUGUGUAUGUGUGCAUGUGUGUACAUGUAUAUACUAAAUUUGAAUAAAAUAUGCCUUAGUGUUUUCCAGAUUUUCAACAAAACAUGUGAUUUUGACAUAAUCUAAUUGUAAAGGACUAAAGAUGGUACAGGUUUGUCCUUGGUUAAAGUUUCCUGAGCAUGUGCGAGAAUACACGUGUCCGAACAAUAAAUGCUAGAGGGUCUGGCUUCCUUCUUACAAACAACACACUGCAUUGUGUUAGAAGUUGGAGUGGCGUCACUGUGAUCAGUGGAAGAAUUCGAUGGAGAUUACAGAUACUUACCCAUGGCUUUGCUGACGUGUACACAUUUUCCAUGGAACCAGUCUUCACAAACGUCGCAGCAUAUCAUAAAUCGAUUAUUAUGUGGUCGUUUGCAGAUACACCAUAAUCGGUCUGGAUCAUCU